rnacentral:rRNA from 1 species
AAGCCUGACGCAGCGACGCCGGGUGGGGGACGAAGGCCUUCGGGUUGUAAACCCCUGGUCGGGUGGAACGAAUCCCCCGAGGACGAAUACUCCUCGGGGUUGACGGUACCUCCAAAGGAAGCCCCGGCUAAUUCCGUGCCAGCACCGCGGUAAUA